GGUUAAAAAUAUAACACCAUCACCAUCAAUUAUCAAGCAAGAACUCUGCUUCAAUUAAUUAUAGUAACCGGCCUGUCUUAGAAACAAUUUUCUGCAACCAAUUAAAAAUGACAGAGGAGAUGCAAUGAAAUGUAAGCUAUAUGAAUUCCUUCAUAGGAAUGUGUUGUUACUUAUAUGAAUAGGAGAAGAUCCAGAGCACAUCUGACAGGAAAUAUGAUACGAUCUCUCUCCUGGUGCCCUCCGAACCAUCCUCAACUGCACAAGCAAGACAUAAGAUAUUAAGCAAUUUUACAAACACUUCAUCUUUAUAAAUUCAAUGAGUACUCUCUAGCAUAUACUUUGAAAAGAAGAGGUCUUGUUCAUCAUUUCACAAAACCUGCAUAUUAGUAUAGCAAGCAAAGGCAUGCAAAAUACUGGACAUGUUUUGGUUCAUGCACAGAAGCAGAGAAAUAGCAAGAUCUAGAAAAACAGCGCAAGAGUAAUCUUGACAACGCCAUCUCAAAGAAAGACCAGAUGAGGUGAAGAAAAAAAAAUGAUGUAUCUGGAGCAAUUGUUUUCCUCUAGUUACCAUUUGAUUCAAUAUUUUGUCCAAUCUCAAAAUCUAAGAUAUGCCCGUAUCCAAUUAUUAAUAAGUUAACUUGCAACUCUUGGCACAAAACAUGAGCAGCUUGAUAAUAGAAGAGCCCUCAAUUGUCCGCUUUUGAUGAAGGGAAAUCAAUUAGUUUUAAAAUACAUGGGAAAAGUUGAUGUUAAUAACUAAUGUUUCUGCUGAAAUAAAGUAGUCCACAAUAUGGGAAGCAAAAAAAAUGGCAUGAAGGAACACUUGCCGCUUUCACACCCAGUAAAAGUAGUAAUGAUGUAGAAACCGAUGGAAUUCUUUUCUUCUUGUACUCAGUAUUGAUCUCACUUGAUUCAGUUUUGGAAAACGAUUUGCCGGAAGUGGCGUAAGUAUCUGGUAACAAAUUGAAAGAUCAAUAAAUAUGCACCAGUUGACCAUAUAACUUUCCAAAAGAAGAACAAGAUGAUUUAUUCCUGUAGUGACUAUUGCAGAAGAAUAUAGCCGAACAAAAGAACUCAUAUCAGAAGUUAAAUAGACACCCAUGUCAGGUUCAUAAACUGUGAUGCUAGCUUUUGGUCAUUUUCUUGUUUCACGAGCACAAUUAUUCGGUUGUUGUAUCAUAUUACUGAGAGGACAAGGAAAAUCAUGCUCGCCAAUUCUUUUCAUCCGAACAACCAUAAAUAUUGUUUGAAAC
rnacentral:lncRNA from 1 species